rnacentral:tRNA from 1 species
CUUCCGAUAGCUCAACGGUAGAGCAGUGCAUCAUUAAUGCACAAAGAUGCUGGUUCGACUCCAGCUCGGAGGG